AGACGUAGGGGGCGAGCGUUGUCCGGAAUUACUGGGCGUAAAGGGCGUGUAGGCGGCCUUUCAAGUCGGCUGUGAAAUACCCCGGCUCAACCGGGGGGGUGCAGUCGAAACUGGGGGGCUUGAGUGCAGGAGAGGAGGGUGGAAUUCCCGGUGGAGCGGUGAUAUGCGUAGAUAUCGGGAGGAACACCGGUGGCGAAGGCGACCUUCUGGCCUGUUACUGACGCUGAGGCGCGAAAGCCGGGGGAGCAAACAGGAUUAGAUACCCUGGUAGUCCCGGCCGUAAACGCUGGGUACUAGGUGUAGGGGGCUUUGAUGCCUUCUGUGCCGUAGUUAACACAUUAAGUACCCCGCCUGGGGAGUACGGCCGCAAGGCUGAA
rnacentral:rRNA from 1 species